GUGGCCGUGGUCUCGGUGGUACUCACAGUACGCUCGAGAGGGCCUCCUCCCAGGAAUUUUCUUCAUCUGCCUCGGGACCGGGAGGUUCUCCCGCCCCUUGACCUCCAUAAGGAUCUGGGCCCAGGGGGCCAGGAGUGGGGUGUACCGGUUGAAGCGUCGGUGCGGAGAACGAGGGCGUGGGGCGCCGUGGUUCCUCGCCGGUGACGGGCUUCUGCGCCGAUGUUGAGGCGUCGGGCUCCUCCUCUGGGGUGCCUCUUUUCGCCUUUUCUUCCCGAGCUUUAGAGGGGCCUCGGCGGCCUCCUUGUUCCGGUGGGCGGCUGCUUCCUCGGCGUCUGCAUACUGGUUCGCCCGAGACAACAGCUCCGGGAAGCUCCGCGGCAGGCGUUUGUCCAGGAAGAAGGUGAGUCUGCCCUUCCGGAAGCCACGCUUCAGGGCUGAGAGAGCCACCUCCUGGCUCAGGUUCCGGACCUCCAAUGUAGCCUUGUUGAAGCGGGUAAGGUAAUCCCGCAGGCUUU
rnacentral:lncRNA from 1 species